AUUGAACGCUGGCGGCAUGCCUUACACAUGCAAGUCGAACGGUAACAGGUUAAGCUGACGAGUGGCGAACGGGUGAGUAAUGUAUCGGAACGUGCCCAGUCGCGGGGGAUAACUGCUCGAAAGAGCAGCUAAUACCGCAUACGACCUGAGGGCGAAAGCGGGGGAUCGCAAGACCUCGCGCGAUUGGAGCGGCCGAUAUCAGAUUAGGUAGUUGGUGAGGUAAAGGCUCACCACGCCGACGAUCUGUAGCUGGUCUGAGAGGACGACCAGCCACACUGGGACUGAGACACGGCCCAGACUCCUACGGGAGGCAGCAGUGGGGAAUUUUGGACAAUGGGCGGAAGCCUGAACCAGCCGUGCCGCGUGCGGGAAGAAGGCCUUCGGGUUGUAAACCGCUUUUGUCAGGGAAGAAAAGGUUCUGGCUAAUACCUGGGACUCAUGACGGUACCUGAAGAAUAAGCACCGGCUAACUACGUG
rnacentral:rRNA from 1 species